UGAUCCCCUUCUUCAGCCUAUUGAUCAAAGACAUUUAUUUUUUGAAUGAAGGAUGUGCUAAUCGCCUUCCAAAUGGACACGUCAACUUUGAAAAAUUUCUGGAACUGGCUAAGCAAGUAGGAGAAUUUAUAACCUGGAAACAAGUGGAAUGUCCCUUUGAGCAGGACCCAAACAUCAUCCACUACUUGCACACUGCUCCCAUUUUUACUGAGGAUGGUUUGUACCUGGCUUCCUAUGAAAGCGAAAGUCCAGAAAACCAGACUGAAAAAGACAGGUGGAAAUCCUUAAGAUCCACUAUUUUAGGAAAGACUUGAAGACUAAGAGGUUAUUGCAGUAGGUCAAGGAAAAAAAAAAUGCGUGAACUUUUUGCACUACUGAUUCCAAAGAUGCCUGUUUGGGAUUUAGACAAUUCGUUUUGUUUGGGUUUUUGUUGGUUUUUUUGACUGCCUAACAUGACGGAUGAACUGGCUUCAUCCUCGGAAAUCGC